rnacentral:rRNA from 1 species
UGGCGGACGGGUGAGUAAUGUCUGGGAAACUGCCUGAUGGAGGGGGAUAACUACUGGAAACGGUAGCUAAUACCGCAUAACGUCGCAAGACCAAAGAGGGGGACCUUCGGGCCUCUUGCCAUCGGAUGUGCCCAGAUGGGAUUAGCUAGUAGGUGGGGUAACGGCUCACCUAGGCGGCGAUCCCCAGCUGGUCUGAGAGGAUGACCAGCCACACUGGAACUGAGACACGGUCCAG